AACUAAGGAAAGCCAAGACAAGAUAUGAACUUUGCACCUUCUCAUCCCUCAGCAUCUACAUGGAAUAAUAAUGAAAAAUGAAGCAAAAUUCUUCCUACAUGAAUCAUUUAACUGUGAUAUUUCAAGAGUUAAGUGCCUAAAUCUCACCAGGAAAGGUAUUUCGAAUGUGACAAACUGGUGAUGAAGGUGUUCCUUGUAUAAUGGAGAUAAAUUGAAUAUGCAUUCCAAACAAGUGCCCGCAUUUAUCAGGGCCAAGUACAAGACUCAGAAAAACUCCUUUCUGUACAAUACUUUAUAAGUCACGAAGCACAACCUGAAACUCAAUAUCAUGAUGACAACAAGCACUGGAAUAAAAAUAUUGCUGUGGCUGGACAAGUAUGUAGAAAUUAUUGGGAGUUUUUCC
rnacentral:lncRNA from 1 species